rnacentral:rRNA from 1 species
UAGGGAAUCUUCGGCAAUGGGGGCAACCCUGACCGAGCAACGCCGCGUGAGUGAAGAAGGUUUUCGGAUCGUAAAGCUCUGUUGUAAGAGAAGAACGUGUGUGAGAGUGGAAAGUUCACACAGUGACGGUAACUUACCAGAAAGGGACGGCUAACUACGUGCCAGCAGCCGCGGUAAUACGUAGGUCCCGAGCGUUGUCCGGAUUUAUUGGGCGUAAAGCGAGCGCAGGCGGUUUAAUAAGUCUGAAGUUAAAGGCAGUGGCUUAACGAGUGUUCGCGUUGGAGACUGUGAAACUUGAGUGCAGAAGGGGAGGGUGGAAGUCCAUGGGUAGCGGUGAAAUGCGUAGAUAUAUGGGGGAACACCGGUGGCGAAAGCGGCUCUCUGGUCUGUAGCUGACGCUGAGGCUCGAAAGCGUGGGGGGCAAAGAGG